AUGGACUACUGUGCCAUCGGCCUCCAGGUCGGCCACCUGAACUACUCCGCCAUGAACUCCUUUUCUGCCGAGAUCAUGGUCGCCCUCCUGAAACAGGGUGUGAAGUGUGAACAGCUGACACAGCCAGCCUCAGAGACUGUGCAGCCAGGUCACCGUCUGACCAUCACCUGUCAGGUCUCUUAUUCUGUUACUGGCUACUACACAGCUUGGAUCAGACAGCCUGCAGGAAAAGGACUGGAGUGGAUUGGGAUGGCAGCUGGAUCUACAACAUACUACAAAGAUUCACUUAAAAGCAAGUUCAGCAUUUCCACAGAUUCCUCCAACAGCAGAGUGACAUUAAGUGGACAGAAUAUGCAGCCUGAAGACACAGCUGUGUAUUACUGUGCCAGACUCCCACAUUAA